ensembl:lincRNA
GGGGGGGGGGGGGGGGGGGGGGGGGGGGGGGGGGGGGGGGGGGGGGGGGGGGGGGGGGGGGGGGGGGGGGGGGGGGGGAUCUGGAUGAGGAAGAUGAGCUUUGUAUGGAAUCUUUGUCUGAAAUGAGCACUUGCCAAGAGGUGAAUCGAGAAACAGAUUUGGCAGAACCAUUUGCAGAACAUGUAUUCGAGAGCUACAAUAACUAUGACAUGCCAAAUACCAAACAAGUGGCUGAUCUUGGAGCAAUUGAAAGUGAGCUUACUGAUGUGAACUCUGUGGAGAGAAUUGGCCAAUUUGAAAAAAUGCAAGGUAAUUUAACAGCCAAAGAUGGACCUCAAGAGGAAGAGCAGGAUGCUCGUCAAAUGGACAAGUGGGAAAGUGAUGUUUUAGAAAGGAAUUUGCAGGACCAAUCCCAGAGUUCAGAUCUGGAUAGUUGUGAUGGCCAAUCAUUCACUGUUUAUGAAAAUUGUGGAAGUGAUGCCAAGGCAGAAGGUUAUGAUGAGUUGAGUGCUUCUCACUGUUGUAAUGGAGGCAGUCCAGCUGAGGUUGAUAGUGGAUCUACAGAAUGUUCUUUUGAAGAAGGUUUAAUAAGGAAUGACCCAUUAGAUCGUGUUAAUGAAAAGGACAUUGAAGUUGCGAAAGUGCUGGGUGAGGAAAGUGAUCUUCCUGAAGCAUUGCUUUCUGAACUUGGCACCUCCCAGAAGGCAAAUCUUGAAAUUGAUUUUGUUGACCCAAUGUUGGAGCAAUCCCAAGAAAAAUGUGUUGAGAGUAACUUUAAUUUCCUGUUUGUUGAGCAGGAGACUUGUCUUGAAUCAAACCAAAAUGAGUCAAGUACAAGCCUUGAAGCAAAAAUGUCCUUGCUUGAUGUGAAUGUUCAGGAUUGUAGUGAUGCUCAGCCUUUUUCAUUGGAUGAACUUGCAGUUACUGAGGUACCCCAGAAAUCCUUUCUGGAUGUAGGUCGUACAGAUUCAUCAACAAGAUAUAUUGAGGGGAAGCAGCUGGAUGAAUUGCCAAUUGCUGGACUUUUUGGCAAUGAGAACAGUGCUGAACUUUAUGAAGGACUUUGUCAGUCUUCUUUCAAUCCGGUGGUUGAGGAGGAUACUGCAGAAAUUGUACCAGUUGAGGAAUGUCUAAUGGGGAAUGAACCAUUGGAUGGUUCUCAGAUUGGAUCCAAGCAAGAAAUGGAUGAGGAAGAUGAUCUUUCUCAAGAAUCUUUGUCUGAAAUGAACACUUGCCAAGAGGAAAAUUGGGUAACUGAUUUGCCAGAAGCAAUGUUUGAGCCAUUUGCAGAACAUGUAUUGGAGGAGAGCUGCAGUAACGUUUGCAUGCCUAAUACCAAACAAGCAGCUGAUCUUGAAACGAUCAAAAGUGAGCUUGCUGAUGUAAACUCUGGAGAGAGAAUUGCCCAAUUUGAAAAGGUGCACGGAGGUGUUAAACAUCUCGAUUUGUACGUCCCUGAUUACGCUCAAGUGCAACCUCGAGAGAAACCACAAGAUGUUUGUACGGACAUGUGGGAAAGUGAUGUUUCUGAUAGGAAUUUGCCAAAUCCAUCGCUCGUUCAAUACCAGAGUUUAGAUCUGGAUGAUGGUUGUGAAGGCCAAUUCCACGCAACUGAAUUAUGUCGGGAACGUUAUUCGCCUUGCAAUCCAGAUCAAGAGGUUGUGCUUGGGAGGGAUUCUCCAGGAUUUUUUCUUGAGAAAGACUUUGAAAAUGCUGAGGGAUGUGGAGUGGGGGAUUCCUCUUUGGAUGAUACGAGGAUGAUGGCAGUUGUGGAAGAACCAUUCGAUGGAAAUGCUCUUCGUCAGAAUUUGGAUUCUGGACUGGACGUUCUCCAGGAGCAAAAUUGCGAAACUGCUGUACAUUUGGCGUUCCCUCUCGAGGAGUUGAACAUUGUGCAAGUUCAAGCUGCUGAAGAACUUUAAAAGGGUAGGCAUGUACCAUGGAAGUGUAGCUUUCAGAAGAGUUUGUGAAGGUUUAAAAUGCUUUGUUGAUUUUACUCGUUUGUGCACUGUUCAUCAUUUAUCAAAAUUCAUGGAAACUCUCCUUGCGUGAUUAUUAGGAGCUGUUUCCCUUAACCUUAUCCUCGUCAUUGGUCUGAAGUUUCAAUUAUUUGUUGUUGCUGCUGCUUUAUUUAUUUAUUUAUUUAUAAAUAUAUAAAAGUGGAGCUUGUUUGAAUAAAAUGUCAGGAUUCCUGCUUAAAUGUUUUUGGCAAUGUUAAAAGCCCUUAUCUCCACUCUUUUUUUUUAAUUUAUUUUUAUUUUUUUUAUCCCCCCCUGAUGUUCUUUUCCCAUCAAACUGACAGCCUUUUAUGAAAAACAAAAAAAAACUGAAUUUGUUGCUGUCCAUGACAAUUGUUGAUUCAACACUUUUUGCCAAUAAAAUGUUAUCUUGGUUUGCUGUUUUUCACGACUCCCUCACCUCGAUUGAUGGUUUCCCUGACAAGACCAUUCUUCAGCCUGAAGUAGAGAUUGCUAUUGCAGACUUGUUUCCCCUUUUUGUGUCGUUUUAAAGAAAAUUGGUAAACAAUGUUACCCCAC